rnacentral:sRNA from 1 species
GUGUAGCUGCUGCUAAAGCGGUUGGAUUGUUAACGAUUGUAGAGCUAGCAUUUAAAGGUAACACUGCCUGUGCACCUUUACUCCAAGCAAUUGGAGUAGUGUUGGCAAAGGUUUUAAAGGUAAUAGUGUAAACAUUACCAUCACUUAGUAACAAUUUUUUACCUAAAAUACCAGAACCGUUCA